rfam:Ovis aries breed Texel chromosome 7, whole genome shotgun sequence.
UCCCUAGUGGCUCAGAGGGUAAAGCGUCUGCCUACAAUGCUGGAAACUCGGGUUCGAUCCCUGGGUCGGGAA